AGGACGAACGCUGGCGGCACGCUUAACACAUGCAAGUCGAACGGAGAUAAUUUGAGUUUACUUAGAUUAUCUUAGUGGCGGACGGGUGAGUAACACGUGAGCAACCUACCUCAGAGAGAGGGAUAGCUUCUGGAAACGGAUGGUAAUACCUCAUAACAUAACUGAACCGCAUGAUUUAGUUAUCAAAGAUUUAUCACUCUGAGAUGGGCUCGCGUCUGAUUAGACAGUUGGUGAGGUAACAGCUCACCAAGUCGACGAUCAGUAGCCGGACUGAGAGGUUGAACGGCCACAUUGGGACUGAGACACGGCCCAGACUCCUACGGGAGGCAGCAGUGGGGAAUAUUGCACAAUGGGGGAAACCCUGAAUGCAGCGAUGCCGCGUGGAGGAAGAAGGUUUUCGGAUUGUAAACUCCUGUCUUAAAGGACGAUAAUGACGGUACUUUAGGGGGAAGCUCCGGCUAACUACGUGCCAGCAGCAGC
rnacentral:rRNA from 1 species